CGUGAGAAUCUGCCUAGAGGAUGGGGACAACCACGGGAAACUGUGGCUAAUACCCAAUGAGCGGAGACGUUAAAGAUUUAUCGCCUCUAGAGGAGCUCGCGUCUGAUUAGCUAGUUGGUGGGGUAAAAGCCUACCAAGGCGACGAUCAGUAGCUGGUCUGAGAGGACAACCAGCCACACUGGGACUGAGACACGGCCCAGACUCCUACGGGAGGCAGCAGUGGGGAAUUUUCCGCAAUGGGCGAAAGCCUGACGGAGCAAUACCGCGUGAGGGAGGAAGGCUCUUGGGUCGUAAACCUCUUUUCUCAGGGAAGAAGAAAGUGACGGUACCUGAGGAAUCAGCCUCGGCUAACUCCGUGCCAGCAGCCGCGGUAAUACGGAGGAGGCAAGCGUUAUCCGGAAUUAUUGGGCGUAAAGCGUCCGUAGGUGGCUCUUCAAGUCUGCUGUCAAAGAGUGGGGCUUAACUCCAGAAAGGCAGUGGAAACUGAAAGGCUAGAGAGCCGUAGGGGUAGAGGGAAUUCCCGGUGUAGCGGUGAAAUGCGUAGAGAUCGGGAAGAACAUCGGUGGCGAAAGCGCUCUACUGGACGGUAUCUGACACUGAGGGACGAAAGCUAGGGGAGCGAAUGGGAUUAGAUACCCCAGUAGUCCUAGCCGUA
rnacentral:rRNA from 1 species